rnacentral:rRNA from 1 species
UGGGGGAUAUUGCACAAUGGGCGAAAGCCUGAUGCAGCAACGCCGCGUGAACGAUGAAGGUCUUCGGAUCGUAAAGUUCUGUUGCAGGGGAAGAUAAUGACGGUACCCUGUGAGGAAGCACCGGCUAACUACGUGCCAGCAGCCGCGGUAAUACGUAGGGUGCUAGCGUUAUCCGGAUUUACUGGGCGUAAAGGGUGCGUAGGUGGUCUUUCAAGUCGGUGGUUAAAGGCUACGGCUCAACCGUAUUAAGCCGCCGAAACUGGAAGACUUGAGUGCAGGAGAGGAAAGUGGAAUUCUCAGUGUAGCGGUGAAAUGCGUAGAUAUUGGGAAGAACACCAGUAGCGAAGGCGGCUUUCUGGACUGCAACUGACACUGAGGCACGAAAGCGUGGGUAGCAAACAG